UACGUAGGGGGCAAGCGUUGUCCGGAAUCAUUGGGCGUAAAGCGCGUGUAGGCGGCCCGGUAAGUCCGCUGUGAAAGUCCAGGGCUCAACCCUGGAAUGCCGGUGGAUACUGUCGGGCUCGAGUCCGGAAGAGGCGAGUGGAAUUCCUGGUGUAGCGGUGAAAUGCGCAGAUAUCAGGAGGAACACCGGUGGCGAAGGCGGAUCUCUGGGCCUUACCUGACGCUCAGGCGCGAAAGCUAGGGGAGCGAACAGG
rnacentral:rRNA from 1 species